UACGGGGGGGGCAAGCGUUGUUCGGAAUUACUGGGCGUAAAGGCUCGUAGGUGGCCAACUAAGUCAGACGUGAAAUCCCCAGCUUAACCUGGGAACUGCGUCUGAUACUGGAUGGCUUGAAUUCGGGAGAGGGAUGCAGAAUUCCAGGUGUAGCGGUGAAAUGCGUAGAUAUCUGGAGGAACACCUAUGGCGAAGGCAGCUCUCUGGUACGUGACUGACGCUGAGACGCGAAAGCGUGGGGAGCGAACAGG
rnacentral:rRNA from 1 species